rnacentral:rRNA from 1 species
AUUGAACGCUGGCGGCAGGCAUAACACAUGCAAGUCGAGCGGAUGAAGGGAGCUUGCUCCUGGAUUCAGCGGCGGACGGGUGAGUAAUGCCUAGGAAUCUGCCUGGUAGUGGGGGAUAACGUCCGGAAACGGGCGCUAAUACCGCAUACGUCCUGAGGGAGAAAGUGGGGGAGUCUUCGGACCUCACGCUAUCAGAUGAGCCUAGGUCGGAUUAGCUAGUUGGUGGGGUAAAGGCCUACCAAGGCGACGAUCCGUAACUGGUCUGAGAGGAUGAUCAGUCACACUGGAACUGGGACACGGUCCAGACUCCUACGGGAGGCAGCAGUGGGGAAUAUUGGACAAUGGGCGAAAGCCUGAUCCAGCCAUGCCGCGUGUGUGAAGAAGGUCUUCGGAUUGUAAAAGCACUUUAAAGUUGGGAGGAAGGGCAGUAAGUUAAUACCUUGCUGUUUUGACGUUACCAACAGAAUAAGCACCGGCUAACUUCGUGCCAGCAGCC